AGCGGCGAACGGGUGAGUAAUACGAAGGGGAUCUGCCCAUCAGACGGGGACAACGAUUGGAAACGAUCGCUAAUACCGGAUAGGACGAAAGUUUAAAGGUGCUUCUGGCACCGCUGUUGGAUGAGCCUGCGGCGCAUUAGCUAGUUGGUAGGGUAAAGGCCUACCAAGGCGACGAUGCGUAGCCGACCUGAGAGGGUGAACGGCCACACUGGGACUGAGACACGGCCCAGACUCCUACGGGAGGCAGCAGUAGGGAAUCUUCGGCAAUGGGCGAAAGCCUGACCGAGCAACGCCGCGUGAAUGAUGAAGGCCUUCGGGUUGUAAAAUUCUGUUAUAAGGGAAGAACGACUUUAGUAGGAAAUGGCUAGAGUGUGACGGUACCUUAUGAGAAAGCCACGGCUAACUACGUGCCAGCAGCCGCGAUAAUACGUAGGUGGCGAGCGUUAUCCGGAAUUAUUGGGCGUAAAGAGCGCGCAGGUGGUUGAUUAAGUCUGAUGUGAAAGCCCACGGCUUAACCGUGGAGGGUCAUUGGAAACUGGUCGACUUGAGUGCAGAAGAGGGAAGUGGAAUUCCAUGUGUAGCGGUGAAAUGCGUAGAGAUAUGGAGGAACACCAGUGGCGAAGGCGGCUUCCUGGUCUGUAACUGACACUGAGGCGCGAAAGCGUGGGGAGCAAACAGGAUUAGAUACCCUGGUAGUCCACGCCGUAAACGAUGAGUGCUAAGUGU
rnacentral:rRNA from 1 species